UCAUCAAACUCCUCUGAGGACGAUGAACAUCUGCUCUAUUCUGAGAGAAACACAAUCACUCCACCUGAUGAUGAAAUAUGAGUUUAACUCACUCAGAUUCACUGUUUGACUUCAGUAAAUGACACUGUUGAGGCAGUUUGUGGAAUAAAUCAGGAGUUUAGGAGCUUCUCCAGGUUUCUGUAAGUACCAGCUGAAGAAGUUUCUCCUGUUCCAGUUUCUCUCCAUUGGAUCAGAGAGCUGUGAUUGGUGCAGAAGAGGAAGAGGCGUGUCUAAACUGAACUGUUGAUCAGGACUACAAUUAAAACAGCAGCUGAUAUAAAACUCUUACUGUCUGCAGUAUAUAGUAUGAAUACAGUGUAUAGUGAACAAAUGACAUGUUAGGAUGAGAUACUCAAAUCAAAUAACCAUGGAGAAUUAUGAAAAUUAACAUCUAUUAUUAAUAAAAGGCGGCAACUGAAAUCA